GCCGCUUCCUUCCCUUUCUUUAAACACCAUUUAUAAUACCUGAAAUCUGUUUAAGGAAUGAGUUAAUAGAAAACUGCAGAAUAAUUGGGUUAAAUUUCAACACAAACAUCCUGCUAAAAUACUUCACGAGUGACUCAUGUGAUGUAAAACCCUUCAGGGUGAAAAACUUCCAUCUAUACAUAUAGAUUUUUCUAUGUCUCCAGCAAGAACACCAGCAAGUUAAGAGGAUAGCACUCUUCCCCCUUCUGCCAUUAAGGAAGCUCAGAGACAAUCAAUGACAAGCCAUUGUUUGUAGCUAGAUCCUACCUGCUUUUCUGGAGAGGAAAGCUGGGGAUGCAAAUCGUAUUUGCAGAGCAAGAUUUCACUUUCAGGGGAAGGAGAAAACAGUUGUUGGGAACUGUAAAACCAAUACUGGAGGAAAAGAGAAGCCAGCAGAUGGCUAGAAAUUACAGUUCUGAUUUGGGUUAUUUACAGUAUCACAGGAAAUAAUUGCAUCCUUGUUCACCUGGGCAUAGAAGCUGACUGAUAUAUACACUGUGGGUAAAAGGUAUUUCUCUUAAGACCAAAAUCCCACCUACUUUUUGUUUCACCAGUGCUGCAGUCAUGAAUUUUGUGUUCUACUUUGGCACUCUGAAAGGGCACAGCUUGACUUUAGGAGACUUAUUCUAAGAGAGAGUAAGAAACUUGUUCAAAAAGGCAUGUUAAUAUACUGCUUGGAGUUCCAAAGAUGAA